GCCAGGCACGGUGGCGCAUGCCUGUAGUCCCAGCUAUUCGGGAGGCUGAGGCUGGAGGAUCUCUUGAGUCCAGGAGUUCUGGGCUGUAGUGCGCUAUGCCGAUCGGGUGUCCGCACUAAGUUCGGCAUCAAUAUGGUGACCUCCCGGGAGCGGGGGACCACCAGGUUGCCUAAGGAGGGGUGAACUGGCCCAGGUCGGAAACGGAGCAGGUCAAAACUCCCGUGCUGAUCAGUAGUGGGAUCACGCCUGUGAAUAGCCACUGCACUCCAGCCUGGGCAAUGUAGUGAGACCCCAUCUCU
rnacentral:SRP_RNA from 1 species